rnacentral:rRNA from 1 species
GACGGAAGGUGCAAGCGUUGCUCGGAAUUACUGGGCGUAAAGCGCGCGUAGGCGGCUUUGCAAGUCGAGUGUGAAAUCCCCAGGCUUAACCUGGGAACUGCAUUCGAGACUGCAUAGCUAGAGUAUGGGAGAGGGAAGUGGAAUUUCAGGUGUAGCGGUGAAAUGCGUAGAUAUCUGAAGGAACAUCAGUGGCGAAAGCGACUUCCUGGACCAAUACUGACGCUCAUGUGCGAAAGCGUGGGGAGCAAACAGG